AGGUAGCUCAACGGUGGAGCAACCGGCUGUUAACCGGUAGGCUGUGGGUUCGAGCCCCUGCCU
rnacentral:tRNA from 1 species